CCUACAGGUGGCUGCAGUGGGGAAUAUUGGACAAUGGGGGCAACCCUGAUCCAGCCAUGCCGCGUGUGUGAAGAAGGCCCUCGGGUUGUAAAGCACUUUCAGUGAGGAAGAACGCCUGGUGGUUAAUACCCAUCAGGAAAGACAUCACUCACAGAAGAAGCACCGGCUAACUCCGUGCCAGCAGCCGCGGUAAUACGGAGGGUGCGAGCGUUAAUCGGAAUUACUGGGCGUAAAGCGCGCGUAGGUGGCUUGAUAAGCCGGUUGUGAAAGCCCCGGGCUCAACCUGGGAACGGCAUCCGGAACUGUCAAGCUAGAGUGCAGGAGAGGAAGGUAGAAUUCCCGGUGUAGCGGUGAAAUGCGUAGAGAUCGGGAGGAAUACCAGUGGCGAAGGCGGCCUUCUGGACUGACACUGACACUGAGGUGCGAAAGCGUGGGUAGCAAACAGGAUUAGAUACCCGAGUAGUC
rnacentral:rRNA from 1 species